rnacentral:rRNA from 1 species
CCCUGAUGUUAGCGGCGGACGGGUGAGUAACACGUGGGUAACCUGCCUGUAAGACUGGGAUAACUCCGGGAAACCGGGGCUAAUACCGGAUGGUUGUUUGAACCGCAUGGUUCAAACAUAAAAGGUGGCUUCGGCUACCACUUACAGAUGGACCCGCGGCGCAUUAGCUAGUUGGUGAGGUAACGGCUCACCAAGGCAACGAUGCGUAGCCGACCUGAGAGGGUGAUCGGCCACACUGGGACUGAGACACGGCCCAGACUCCUACGGGAGGCAGCAGUAGGGAAUCUUCCGCAAUGGACGAAAGUCUGACGGAGCAACGCCGCGUGAGUGAUGAAGGUUUUCGGAUCGUAAAGCUCUGUUGUUAGGGAAGAACAAGUACCGUUCGAAUAGGGCGGUACCUUGACGGUACCUAACCAGAAAGCCACGGCUAACUACGUGCCAGCAGCCGCGGUAAUACGUAGGUGGCAAGCGUUGUCCGGAAUUAUUGGGCGUAAAGGGCUCGCAGGCGGUUUCUUAAGUCUGAUGUGAAAGCCCCCGGCUCAACCGGGGAGGGUCAUUGGAAACUGGGGAACUUGAGUGCAGAAGAGGAGAGUGGAAUUCCACGUGUAGCGGUGAAAUGCGUAGAGAUGUGGAGGAACACCAGUGGCGAAGGCGACUCUCUGGUCUGUAACUGACGCUGAGGAGCGAAAGCGUGGGGAGCGAACAGGAUUAGAUACCCUGGUAGUCCACGCCGUAAACGAUGAGUGCUAAGUGUUAAGGGGGUUUCCGCCCCCUUACUGCUGCAGCUAACGCAUUAAG